rnacentral:lncRNA from 1 species
CUUUUCUUUUUAGUGCUGAAUAAUAUUCCAUUGUCUGGAUGUACCACAGUUUAUUUAUCCAUUCAUCUACUAAAGAGCAUCUUGGUUGCUUCCACGGUUUGGACCAUGCUGUGAGGCACCCAUGGAGCCACGUGGAAAAGUCCCAGCUGGCAAGGGCCAAUUGCCCUCCAGACACAAGAGUGAAAGGGCCUUCAGAUGACUCCAGACCCAGCCUCUGAGCCACUGCAGCAGAUGCCAAGUGGAGUGAGCGCUGCCUGGAUUUCAGAUCUGGUACAGCGGCACUUCCCAACCGUGGCUAAGACCAGAAUCACCUACGGGGCUAAGAUCAGAAUCACCUACGGAGCUCACAUGUUAGAGACCCACCCCAGACCUAGUGACUCAGAACCUCCCGCGACGGAGCAUGGGUGUGUUUGUUUAUUUGUCCUUACUUUUUUUUUUUUUUAAAGAGCUUCCUGGGAGUCCCCACCCCACUAGCCCUCCCCCACCCUCACCCUUAGGAACCACUGAUAUAUUUUUUUGCUUUUCAUGGUAAUAAGAUCUACCAUAUGUGAAGGUCUCUCAUGUGCUGGGGGCUUUGCCUGUAACACACCUAAUUCUUCUAACAACUCUGUAGGUUAGGAAUUAUUACCUUGCACAUAUUACAAAUGAGGCAACCUCCACCCAGAAAAAUUUAAGCAAAAUUGUCCUGAGCUACUAAAUCCAAAUCUCUGCUCUUUCUACAUGAAAAUCCAUCAUUAUGUGAGAGGCUCAGGGAAUCAGCAAGAUGAAUUAGUUUGCUUAGGAAAGUAGUAGAUACAUCAUUGGAUAUUUUUCAGAAAAAAAGUCCUUCUCUCCUGCCCUCUGCUUUUUCUUUUCUUUUCUUUUCUUUUCUUUUUUCUUUCUUUGAGAGACGGAGUCUUGCCCUAUAGCCCAGGCUGGAGUGCAGUGGUACGAUCUUGGCCCACUGCAACCUCCACCUGUCUGGUUCAAGCGAUUCUCGUGCCUCAGCCUCCCAAGUAGCUGGGAUUAUAGGCAUGCACCACUAUGCCUCGCUAUUUUUUGUAUUUUUAGUAGAGACGGGGUUUCACCAUACUGGGCAGGGUGGUCUCAAACUCCUGACCUCAAGUGAUCCACCACCUCAGCCUCCCAAAGUGCUGGAAUUACAGGCGUGAGCCACUGCGCCCUGCCUCCUCCCUGCUUUUUCUUAUCCCUUGGGUCUUAGAUAGCAUUUCUUUAGGGGUACUUUUUCUGAGUCCCUAACUCUGGCCAGCUGUCCCUUCUCUGUGUGCCCAGUCCACUCUGUACUGGACUUAACACAUAUUGUAAUGUUUGUCUACUUCUUUGUCUAUUCUCCCAGAGGGCAGAUAUUCAGACUCACCACCAAAGCCCUCACUAGUCAUCUAGUUGAGUACCUGCCUCAUUUAAAU